UACGGAGGGCGCAAGCGUUGUUCGGAAUCACUGGGCGUAAAGCGCGUGUAGGCGGCCGGGCAAGUCGGGUGUGAAAGCCCGAGGCUCAACCUCGGAACUGCAUUCGAAACUGCUCGGCUCGAGUCCCGGAGAGGAUGGCGGAAUUCCCGGUGUAGGGGUGAAAUCCGUAGAUAUCGGGAGGAACACCAGCGGCGAAGGCGGCCAUCUGGACGGUGACUGACGCUGAGACGCGAAAGCGUGGGGAGCAAACAGG
rnacentral:rRNA from 1 species